GCCAGCAUGGUGUAGUGGUUUGAACGUUGGACUAUGACUCUGGAGAUCAGGGUUCGAUUCCUCACUUGGGCU